UCUCAUUAGUAUCUCCAUGUAUCUUCGGUGAAAUCGCUGGCUUUCGUUCUCUGCCUCUCGAUGCCUUUUUCUCAGGACCUCAGAUUCCGCCUCCGCGUCCUUAACGGCCUGCUGCUCGCAUACCAGCUGGAUCUUCAAUUGCUGCAGCUCGACCUUUCCCUCCCCAAGGGUGACAGAUAGUUCUUCUACGGUUCUUCUCAGGGAUUGGAGUUUGCUGGAAUCCCGAGCGGGAGCAAGCUGAGCCCCUCCAGCUAGCUGCCUCUGAAGGCGGGCAACCUCGUCGGUCG
rnacentral:lncRNA from 1 species